AUCUCCUCAAGCUAUCAGGCGCAUUUCGCUACUUUGUCUUAAAGCUUCACUUAAUACACUAUAGCAUGCCUAUCUGCCAAGAAAAUUAGUCAAACCAUCAGGAGUCUGGACUCUCACAUAUUUAGAAAUCAUUUAUAAAGGUAACAUUAGAUGGAUGCUGACAGUCGAUAGAGAACUGAAUAAAAUAACGUCACCUUCUGUCUGGAUUUCUGAAAAUGGACGCCCAGGAAUUUAGAAAAUACUUACAGGAUGAGAAACAGAUGGCUUAUCGGAUUUGUCGAUAUAAAUGUGCCUUUAGCCCCCUGUUUAGAAUUACACGCCACUCAUUAUCCUCAUCUCAUAUCGAGAGUAUGGAUAUUCAUCUAAAAAAUCAAUUUAUGGAGAAAUGUACGGGUAAAUUCUUCUCUUCCCGAAGAACCAUCAUUAAUUAAAGGAGGAAGUUGGUAAUGAUGCCAUUUAUAGAAUUACCUCAAUUGUAAAUUGUGAAGUCAAGAUAAUUUUCAGCAUGUUUAGAGUCAUCCACACCAAAUUACGAAAUUGAACUCUGAAUUUUGUAACAUCUAACAAUAAGUAUUCGGUUUUUUUUAAAAAUCUAAUCAUAAAUAUGAUUCUAUUUUAGCUUAAAUUAUCAAGAAUUUGAUACACAACUCAUUAAAUGACAAAUGCUUAAAUGGUUACAACAACCGGUGUAGUAGCUUUGGAUGGUUUGCAACUUGUUUGUCUGACAUAAGUUUCUUCACUUAAAGACUUGGAUUAGCUAUGGUUGAUAAGCUCUAAGAAAAGGUGGUCAGAAAACUCAUAAAAGGCAAA
rnacentral:lncRNA from 1 species